rnacentral:rRNA from 1 species
UACGUAGGGUGCGAGCGUUGUCCGGAAUUAUUGGGCGUAAAGGGCUCGUAGGCGGUUUGUCGCGUCGGGUGUGAAAACCUUGGGCUUAACUCAGGGCUUGCUUUCGAUACGGGCAGACUAGAGGUAUGCAGGGGAGAACGGAAUUCCUGGUGUAGCGGUGAAAUGCGCAGAUAUCAGGAGGAACACCAGCGGCGAAGGCGGCGCUCUGGGCCGGAACUGACGCUGAGGAGCGAAAGCGUGGGUAGCAAACAGG